UACUACAUGGUAAAACAGAGAGUGUUCAAUGCGAUGUACCACGCUCAUCUAUGCAACAUCACAUGUGAGGAUACUAAUUUAUUGCUUUCAUGCGAAAAGGAUAGCAGGAAAAUGCCAAUCAAGAUGGCGAGCAUGAUAAUGCCAAUCAAUUACUGAUUUCAACAAAAAUCAUUAGCGCCACAAGGCCCUGUUAUUGACUUUGUGCCAGAGGUAAUAUUUGUGUGCUUUUGAGUUUUGAACUUGGAACU